CUUGUGUAUAAAUACACAAACAAUACACAUAUGCUUUCAAUGUGUAAUUUGAGUGAUCUAGGUAGCUCUGUUAAGGAAGUUCAGUUAAUGCUAGAAAUGUGUUCUGGAGUUUGUACGUGCUUUGUCUCUAGGGACCACCGCACAUAUUUAUAUUGAAUUGAAUUGAAUUGAAUGAAUGCUUUAUUGGCCAUAUGCAGGUUGCCCCGCAGAGGAAUAGGACCCCCGACUUGCACACACAAAAAAGACAUCACAUGGGAAUACAGUCGGAGAUCAGCAGCGUUACAGAAAAAAAAACACUGAAAAAGUACACAACAAUGGGAAAAGUACAAGAGGAAAAAAAGAGACCUCUUCUCACGCUGGGCACCUAUGGGAGGACAGCAUGAGAACAGGAAACAAAAAAAACUCCUCUACACAGAGCGCACAUAAAUGUCCACAUUACAACAUUGGAGCACGUGACAAGCCACAGGGGUUGGGUAGGGGGUGAGGAGUAAUCUGAAGGAACACAGCAGUCGUCCUACACAGCGCUACCAUUCCAGCGUGGCACACGGACCCGCCGUCUUCCCCCACAGGAAACAAGCAUCGAAGGCGUUUGGAAAGGGAGGGGGAUGAGUGCGUGCUUAUCAGUAUAAAUUAUGGUGACAGGACAGUAAGUCUUGGGCUUGAGUCCCAGUUACACGAAGCCCUUCAGAUAUUACGUUUCAUGCCGAUACCCUGUGUUAUUGCAGUGUUGAUGAUCAUCUAUUUCUGGCAGAAGAGAC
ensembl:lncRNA